rnacentral:rRNA from 1 species
CCUGGCUCAGGACGAACGCUGGCGGCGUGCCUAAUACAUGCAAGUCGAGCGCAGGAAGCUGACGGAACUCUUCGGAGGGAAGGCAGUGGAAUGAGCGGCGGACGGCUGAGUAACACGUAAGGAACCUGCCUCAAGGAUUGGGAUAACUCCGAGAAAUCGGAGCUAAUACCGGAUAUUUCAACGGACCGCAUGGUCCGCUGAUGAAAGGCGCUCCGGCGUCACCUUGAGAUGGCCUUGCGGUGCAUUAGCUAGUUGGUGGGGUAACGGCCCACCAAGGCGACGAUGCAUAGCCGACCUGAGAGGGUGAUCGGCCACACUGGGACUGAGACACGGCCCAGACUCCUACGGGAGGCAGCAGUAGGGAAUCUUCCACAAUGGACGAAAGUCUGAUGGAGCAACGCCGCGUGAGUGAUGAAGGUUUUCGGAUCGUAAAACUCUGUUGUAAGGGAAGAACACGUACGAGAGGAAAUGCUCGUACCUUGACGGUACCUUACGAGAAA